CUUGCUAGUAGGCGUCGAGUGGCGGACGGGUGAGUAACGCGUAGGAAUCUGCCCAUUAGUGGGGGACAACUCGGGGAAACUCGAGCUAAUACCGCAUACGCCCUACGGGGGAAAGCGGAGGACCUUUCGGGGCUUCGCGCUAAUGGAUGAGCCUAAGCCGGAUUAGCUAGUUGGUAGGGUAAAAGCCUACCAAGGCGACGAUCCGUAGCUGGUCUGAGAGGACGAUCAGCCACACUGGGACUGAGACACGGCCCAGACUCCUACGGGAGGCAGCAGUGGGGAAUAUUGGACAAUGGGCGCAAGCCUGAUCCAGCAAUGCCGCGUGUGUGAAGAAGGCCUGCGGGUUGUAAAGCACUUUCAGUAGAGAAGAAAGGUUUAGGGUUAAUACCCCUGAAUCUUGACGUUACCUACAGAAGAAGCUCCGGCUAACUCCGUGCCAGCAGCCGCGGUAAUACGGAGGGAGCGAGCGUUAAUCGGAAUUACUGGGCGUAAAGCGCGCGUAGGCGGCUUUGUAAGUCGGAUGUGAAAGCCCUGGGCUCAACCUGGGAAUUGCAUUCGAUACUGCAGAGCUAGAGUAUGGUAGAGGGAAGUGGAAUUUCCGGUGUAGCGGUGAAAUGCGUAGAUAUCGGAAGGAACACCAGUGGCGAAGGCGACUUCCUGGGCUAAUACUGACGCUGAGGUGCGAAAGCGUGGGGAGCAAAACAGGAUUAGAUACCC
rnacentral:rRNA from 1 species